CUUUCUUUGCUGGCGACCGGCGCACGGGUGAGUAACACGUGCCCAACCUGCCCUUUACUCGGGGAUAGCCUUUCGAAAGAAAGAUUAAUACCCGAUAGCAUAAUGAUUCCGCAUGGUUUCAUUAUUAAAGGAUUCCGGUAAAGGAUGGGGAUGCGUUCCAUUAGGUUGUUGGUGAGGUAACGGCCCACCAAGCCUUCGAUGGAUAGGGGUUCUGAGAGGAAGGUCCCCCACAUUGGAACUGAGACACGGUCCAA
rnacentral:rRNA from 1 species